rnacentral:lncRNA from 1 species
AUGCAACUUUCCCAUCCCCAGGAUCACAGCUUAAGACUUGGGGCUAGAGAGAUACCCACCCCUGGGCUCAAGCUAAGGAACACAGAGACCUCAGGAGGACACUGCCCCGGGGCCAGUCCAGCUGAAACACCAAGAAGCAGCUUGGAGCCUGGCCAUUCGGGGUAUGAAAAACAUCAGGGGACCAAAGGCAAGGGGAGGAGUCCCAGUGGGUCCAGGACCCGGUUCCAGUUCAGGUUCACUGGAAACAACACAGUGAGCCUGCUUUGUGCUUUAAGUUCCCCAGAAGUGACUCUACAGAAUCAGAAAAUUACUUCUUCCAUCAGGCAUCACCACGUGUCGAGGAAAUAAAACAAAGACGUAGGAUACUUGAAAGCCUCUUGUGAAGCCAACUGUUCGCCGCCACCACCACCACCAGUAAACCUCACGACUGUGUGACCUUGGCCAAGUCAAGACCUCUCUGGGCCUCAGGGUUUCCGUCCAUUGAAUGCGAGAGCUGGUUUAGGUCAUCUGUACUUAUUUCUUUCUGAGUCUAAAGCUGUUCUCUGAUUCUGUGAUUUCAAGCAUAAAUGAGUCUAUCGUGAAGAGGAGCGACCUGGGCAGAUCACAGCUCCAACGACGUCAGCCAGUCUGGAGCUGGGUUUCAAAGGAGCCCAGAAAUGUGAAUUGGUGUUGGGGGGCGGGGGUGACAUUCCAGGUGGAGAGAAUGGCAUGAGCAAGGGCGAGGCAAGGAAGCAGAGGGUGGCAAACAGAUUAGCGAGGCUUAGGAAUGAGGUUGGUGAGGGAGCCUGGGGAGGAAGUCGGGGCAGGAGGAGGAGAAGGGGGCUGUCCUCUGGGCUGAAACCGAAGUGGGGGAGGAAUACGGAUGGGAAGACACUCUCUCAGCUCCAGAGGCUGGUGCCAAAGCCCGUGCAGCCAAACUCCACCCAGGAGAGUGAGAGAGAAAGGUCCCCGUGCCAAGAGGCCCCACCUACAGGGACGGCCCAUUCCUCCCUUCCCUUCUCUCCCAGCCCGGCUCCAGCCUUGAGGUAAGCGAGGGCCUCAAUCCCGAGUCCUCUGCUCACAGGAAGAAAAGGGUGUUUCCAUUUCUUUAAUUUUGUAUCUAUAUGAGUUGAUACAUAUUUACUAAACUUAGUCUGAUAACCCUUUCCUGAUGUAUGUAAAUCAAAUUGUGCUGUACACCUUACACAGUGAUGUAGGUCAAUUAUAUCUCAAUAAAACUGGAGGGGUUCCCUGGUGGUGCA